GAUGAACGCUGGCGGCAUGCCUAACACAUGCAAGUCGAUCGGUAAGGCUCUUCGGAGUACACGAGAGGCGGACGGCUGAGUAACGCGUAGGUACACACCCUGCAGUGAGGGAUAAGACACCGAAAGGUGUUCUAAUACCGCAUACGGUCUUCGGAUUAAAGCAUUUAUGCGCUGAAGGAGUGGCCUGCGUCAUAUUAGAUAGUUGGUGAGGUAAUGGCUCACCAAGUCGAUGAUGUGUAGCUGGUCUGAGAGGAUGAUCAGCCAGACUGGAACUGAGACACGGUCCAGACUCCUACGGGAGGCAGCAGUGAGGAAUAUUUCACAAUGAGCGAAAGCUUGAUGGAGCAAUGCCGCGUGCAGGAUGAAGGCCCUCGGGUUGUAAACUGCUUUUAUAAGAGAAGAUUAUGACGGUAACUUAUGAAUAAGGGACGGCUAACUACGUG
rnacentral:rRNA from 1 species